rnacentral:hammerhead_ribozyme from 1 species
ACCUAGAUGAAGAGUCCCAAAUGGGACGAAAUGCGCAUCCUGGAU